rnacentral:lncRNA from 1 species
GGCCUCCUGGAGGGCAACUACUUCAGCUGCCUUUUUUUUUAGGCGAGCGACCUCGGUCCGACGGUGCUCCUCCACCUGGAUGGCAUCCCUCCUUGCCCGAUUCGUCACCUCGAUAUUGGUGAGGAGCUGGUGCCCAAUUUGCAAGGGCGGCUAGGGGAUCAGAACAAGGGUCGAAUAGCCGGUUAAAUGAAGAUUUGUUUACCUCGAGAAAGGACCCUAGGGAGUCCCAAACCUGCUGCUC